rnacentral:lncRNA from 1 species
AUUUGGUGAAAGUUCAGUGUUUUACAGAGUGUUUCAAUACAGACACCUAGAAAACAAGCUGCUUACUGGGACAUGUCAUUCAUGAGAACUUGCUGAUGAGCUGGUUGUAUGUUGUCUUGAGACACCAUUAGAAUCACAAGGAAUCACCUUAGAAAUACUAUGGAAUCACCUUAGAAUCACUUUAAAGUGACCCUGGAACGACCUUAAAAUCUCUGUGGAGUCACUGUGAAAUUAAAUUAAAGUCAUACUAGAAUCAAAUUGCAAUCAUCU